rnacentral:rRNA from 1 species
AUUGAACGCUGGCGGCAUGCCUUACACAUGCAGGUCGAACGGCAGCAUGAUCUAGCUUGCUAGAUUGAAGGCGAGUGGCGAACGGGUGAGUAAUACAUCGGAACGUGCCCUGUAGUGGGGGAUAACUAGUCGAAAGAUUAGCUAAUACCGCAUACGACCUGAGGGUGAAAGUGGGGGACCGCAAGGCCUCAUGCUAUAGGAGCGGCCGAUGUCUGAUUAGCUAGUGGGUGAGGUAAAGGCUCACCAAGGCGACGAUAAGUAGCUGGUCUGAGAGGACGAUCAGUCACACUGGGACUGAGACACGGCCCAGACUCCUACGGGAGGCAGCAGUGGGGAAUUUUGGACAAUGGGGGCAACCCUGAUCCAGCAAUGCCGCGUGUGUGAAGAAGGCCUUCGGGUUGUAAAGCACUUUUGUCCGGAAAGAAAUCGCACUUACUAAUAUUAGGUGUGGAUGACGGUACCGGAAGAAUAAGGACCGGCUAACUACGUGCCAGCCGCCGCCGUAAAAC